rnacentral:rRNA from 1 species
GAUGAACGCUGGCGGCGUGCUUAACACAUGCAAGUCGAACGGGAAACCUUUUAUUGAAGCUUCGGCAGAUUUAGCUGGUUUCUAGUGGCGGACGGGUGAGUAACGCGUGGGUAACCUGCCUUAUACAGGGGGAUAACAACCAGAAAUGGUUGCUAAUACCGCAUAAGCGCACAGGACCGCAUGGUCCGGUGUGAAAAACUCCGGUGGUAUAAGAUGGACCCGCGUUGGAUUAGCUAGUUGGCAGGGUAACGGCCUACCAAGGCGACGAUCCAUAGCCGGCCUGAGAGGGUGAACGGCCACAUUGGGACUGAGACACGGCCCAGACUCCUACGGGAGGCAGCAGUGGGGAAAAUUGCACAAUGGGGGAAACCCUGAUGCAGCGACGCCGCGUGAAGGAAGAAGUAUCUCGGUAUGUAAACUUCUAUCAGCAGGGAAGAUAGUGACGGUACCUGACUAAGAAGCCCCGGCUAACUACGUG